CUCCACAGCGUUCACUGCUAUGUAUGGAACGGAGUAUAGUGUACUAGAAUAAUGUAGGACGGGGUAAAGCACUCUGUUCCUUGCUUUUCACGCCCGAGCGUACAUCUCGCCGGUUGGCGGCAUUAUGUGCGUCGCCGCGAGGGAAGCGCACGUCGGAGUAGGAAGGCGCCUGGAGGCUGGUGUCCUCUUGCGGGGAUGGUGAAAGUUGCCUGCGGUGGAGGACCAGAUGUUCGACCGUUUAGGUGUGUUGCCCACAUCCUACAUGCCGCCACUGUCCGUCUCGGGUGAAACCGAAGCAUUGGCCGUAUACGAGUGUUCUCAGCGCUCCUGCACGGGCUUCAAAGAGCACAGUGUUGCCACCACCGUUGUCAUGUACAGACUCCAUGGCGAUUUCUCCCUCGUGGGGAUGGUAAAGUGCAAGUGUUGUUUU